rnacentral:rRNA from 1 species
UACGUAGGGACCAAGCGUUGUCCGGAAUCAUUGGGCGUAAAGAGCGUGUAGGCGGCCUGUUAAGUCUUGCGUGAAAUCUCGGGGCUCAACCCCGGGUCGGCCGUGGCAACUGUCGAGCUGGAGCACUGUAGAGGCAGGUGGAAUUCCGGGUGUAGCGGUGGAAUGCGUAGAGAUCCGGAAGAACACCGGUGGCGAAGGCGGCCUGCUGGGCAGUGGCUGACGCUGAGGCGCGACAGCGUGGGGAGCAAACAGG